UUGUCAAUAUGUGGAACAUAUACACACAAAAAAGUGAAUUUUAGGCAUGUCAUUUAUAAUUCUACAGGCCUGGCCAAAAAGAGAUAUAAAAACAUUCAAAUCUUGAACAAUAUUUUCCUUUCUUUCCUUUUUUCCUUAUUUGGGGAAAAGCUUAAUUGAUGCAUAAUAUUUUACCAUUUGGAGGAGCUGUUAUAGCCAUAACAAUUUUUCUAUUUGAACAUUUAUACCAUCUUUUUACUUUUCACUGUUAUAGAUAAAAACUGAAUACACAAUAAACGAACAAUGGAAUUAUUUCCUCUUCAGAUGUGUUAACAUGGCUGGGAGUAUUUUGACAGUGUUAUGUAAUUGAUAUUCCUAAUUUGCUUAUGAACCAGAACUUGUAGAUUCUCCAGAGACAAGAAAAAUAUAUUCAAAAUAUUCUUGUUAGUUUUGAGAAAAGUGAUAGAUUCAUAUUAUGAUGGCUAACAUUUAUAGAUUAAGCUAUACGGUGAGAAAUAAGGGUGUGGAAUAUUGAUAGCCAAACAAAAAUAAAUCCUCCUCAAAUUAUUUAAAAAAAUCCUGGCUUUCCUAGGUUUGAGGCAGCUGAGAAGCAGAGUAAAUUUUUCAAUGGGUUUCAUUUCCUGAACAGCAAUACUAUAUGCCAGAGUGCUGGUGGCUAAUUUGUGUUUUUGCCAAAUGCCAAUUUAUGGCUAACUUGAGUCUCUGUGUGUAAUUUUAGGAUCUAUAAUAAUGGCUUUGUGCAAGAGAUGUGUCCAGCAAGGUUGAGAGUGUAGAUGUCUUCAUUGAUUAUUUUAAAUUCUACCACUGGCUCUAGGGUAGAGGUAUGUUAUGAAUCACUCUAGAUCCUUUUGGAACAGUGGGCCUGCUAACACCCAGGUCUCUGUAAAUGCUUUGAUUAGAUAAAUCUCAAAUAGCAACAGCCCCAUUGUUGACUUCGUUAACAUAAAUUCUCUAUUAGGCAAAGCAAUUUUAAUGUACAAUUUGGGGGUGGGAGUGGGGAACCCUGGAUGAAUAUGGGCUGGAAUGGAAAGAGGAAACCUAGAAAUGGAAAAAAAUAUCAUAAAUAAAUAAAUUCAUCUCAAGAUGCUUGUUUCAACUUCAUUUUAGCAAUCUUCAACCUAAUAACCUUUUUUUCCCCUAAAUUUGCCUUUGUUAUAGAGUUUUACAACUGGCAAGAACAUUUCUUUAUUAAGACUCUCUGUGGGUCUAAGCCUUUUUAAUGACCCCCAUAUCCAUGGCACCAUCUGGACACCUGACAUUUUAAAAACAAACAUUUAAGCAUAAUUGAUGAAUCAACCUUAGAUGGCUAUUAUGCAGGUCUGACUGCUAACCAUACAGGCAGUUCUCAUUCUACCAUGUUAAACCUUGCUAAGCAGAAAUAUCACACUGAGGGCAUUAACAUGGGAGUAUUGUAAAGAAAGAUUAACCUGAAGAGACUCUAAAGCAAUAACAGUGAUGAUCAAAAACAAACAAACAAACAAACAAAAACCAUAAGAAAUAACAUGAUGAAUUUUGGCCAGAAACCAUCCUACAAUUCAUGAUCAAAGGGGGACAUUGGUAUUGUAGGUGGGCCCUAACUUCCUUUACAAACAGCCCCAGCCAAGGAGACUCAGCUAAAAAAUGACUCAUCCAAUAAACAGCCACAAGUAUCCUGCCCUCUAGUAUCAAAGGAUAACCCUUGGCUUAUACUUCCUUAAAUAGCCAUAGCUUGUGGGAGAAGGGAGAAUUGACACUAAAGGGCAUCUGCUGUUUAUGAGGCACUUUUGAUUCAUGCAUCCAUCCAUUAAAUAUAACCAACAGAAAUGUAUUUCAUACAACUUUACGCAGAGUCCUAUUUUAGGUCCUGCAGAUGCAGCAAUAAGCAAAACACACCAUAAUGUUAAAUCUUUGGAACUUAAGUUCUACCUGGAGCCUGGGGGAAGGGGUGGCAGAAGGUUGGAGCUUUUAGACCAUCUGUGAAUUUGUGAAUUAGAUAUUAUUUUCCCUCUCUUACAGAUCAAGAAACAGACUCAGGAAUAUGGAUUGACUUCUACAAGGUUACACAACUAGCAAGUCAUAGAACUGGCAUUAGGAUUUAGGACUCCAACAUACAGCUUCUGUUAGAUCAUCAGGAAAUGUGCCUCAGAAAAGGACCUUCUACCUUGUUUACUCCAGACACUUUGAUGUAAAUGAGACUGUAAGGCUUCUUUGGAUUCAGCACAUAAAGCUUAGGAACAGAGUUCAAACACCAGUUAUUUAGGAGUAAUUAGCAGAACCCUGGGCUCAGAACUUCCAUCUUUUAAAUUUCAACUGUUUUAGGACUAUGAUAGGAUUUUUUGAUUAUUACUUUGAACUAUAUUGCUGUUGUGGGAAAGACACAUUCAGAGUUCUAAAUUAAUGAUUCACAAAUCUACUUUUGGAGUCUAUAAAUCUGCCAUUUCUGAUUUCUAACUCUCUGGUUGCUGAAACCUACUUUUCCAUGUUAGUUUCCAGCUCAAGUCAUCCUGAGUAAAAAUAGGAAUGCAACACAGUUUUUUUUUUUUUUCUCCUAUUCUUAUUCCUUUCAGAACUGUUCUCUUCCAAGGAAUAUCCACCUACUUAGUUUCUUCUCAUGGGACUUCUGGCAUACAAUAAUUGAUUUCUGUCUCUAGUUUCCUGGGCAAAAGGGGCAAGGCUCAAGUUUCUAUAUAAUAAUAUUCUGAAAAUCUAGGAAAAUUAUAUAAUUAUCAUAAUUGCAGUUUUUCCUUGUUUUACAAGGAUUUUUAAUAAAGCAUGAUAAAUAUAAUCUCAUACUAUAUGUUGUAUAGAAGGUAAGAUAUUUAUCCCCUCCAAAUUAACAGAGAAAUGAGGAGAAACAAGUGCUUAAUAUAAAGUAUUGACCACAAGAUUUUUUUUGAAAAAUAAUAUUUGUGGAUUUUGACAUUAAUGAGGCACUGAGGUAUAUUAAAAAUGGCUAUGUACAAGUUAACAUAUUGCAAAGAAUUAAAUAAAAAUCAAAUAACGACCAAGUCAUAAGCUCAUACUAAAAACCGGAAGCAAAAUUCAAAUGGUGGCUACACCAAUAACAGCAAAAAAUAAAAUUAAUUCUUUUAGAAUAUAAACUAAUUUUUGCCAUCUUUGGAAGUUAUGCCUUUUUAAUUAAUUUCAUGUUUACAAAAAUGGAAAAUUUAUAGUACAGAGGUGUGCCUUUACAAAGAGAAUUUUCCACCUCAUUAAUAAGGUCCUUUAUGAUGUCUAAUUUAUAAUUUGUAUUGCUUGAUAUAUUAUAUAUCGCAAGACUACUUUGUUAUCAUCACAAAGAUUUAAUUUUUGGCCUUAUUCUGAUUACCUAUCUUCAGCUUACUUUUUUGUGUCCAAACCCAUGUCUUGGUAGUCUGCUUAAUAAUCUCCUUGCUCUAGAAUUUAAAGAAGCUGCUCCUGAUUGACAGAUUCUUUCUAAGAUAUUGGAGCCUGUGCUUGCACCCCAUCAAGGAAGGGUCACGAAAAUCCACUAUGUGUCUAUAGGCUUCCUUGUGCAACCUCUUCCCUUAGAUUUUCAGAGUAACUUUCAGUGAUAUGCUGGACCCAACUCUUACUGGCUUGCAAAAGCCUGUUGCUAAAUACUCAGGAAUUUUGUGAGUGAGGAUGUAGCUGGAAAGUAGCCACAGUAAAAAGUAUUUAAACUAGAGAAACCAUCAAAUGCUUUUAGCCCUUGGAAGGCUGGUUUAUCAACAUGUCACUGAAUCACUGUGCUUCUCAGAAUACAUUAGAUAACUGUGUUUGGAUUUCCUGACCAUGAACUAUUGCUGAAUUUUUUUCCCCCAUUUUUGGCCAUCCUGCAGCAUAUGGAGUUCCCUGGCCAAGGAUCAGAUCCGAGUUGCAGUCACAACCUAUGCCAUAGCUGGGGCAAUCCUGGAUCCCCAACUUACUGUGCCAGGCUGGGGAUCAAACUUGUGUCCUAGUGCUCCCAAGAUGCCAAAAAUCCUAUUGCAUCACAGCGGGAACUCCGGAAAUAUUUAUUUUGUAUCAUAUUCUACUGAAUCUUAUCUCAGUAUUUUGAGCUGGCAUUACCUUUAAAGUGACCAUCUCACCUCAGUAAUCCUGUGUGGUUUUAAAUUCCUGUUCUUAGUUUCCCCUCUAUUCUUUUGUGAAUAAUUGAGACAUGGAUAGCAGAAUCUAAAACUAAGAUCCUCUGAAUGGUCUGGGGAGUCUGUCUCUUAUACCUGGGCUUGUCCUUCUAUAAACCAAAGCCUUCCUCUGUCAUCCCCAACUAUUAAAGUUACAUAAUUGUAUUUCAACCUCUAAAAAGAUUAAAAAUACUUACUACCCUUUAAUAUAAAUACACUCUGACUAUGGUUUGGGUACAUAGACACUACAAGGGCAGUCAGCUAAGACAUGAUUGGUUCUACAGGGCAAUUAUCAACUAGACCCCCUUGCAGAUGCUCUUAUUCAAUGCCAGUUAAACAGUCAUCUACUCCCCUGUAGCAAGAAGGAAUUUUUAGGAAUGGCUAGUUAAAUGUGGAUGACAGGCUGAGCUUCAAUAUCAUGAUUAGCAAGAAAACUGGCUACUUGCCUCUUCAAACUGUAUUUUUUAAUCUGUACCUCAUUAACUACCAUGUGUUUUAAACUGGCCUGUCAUAGCUGGUAAAGUGCUCCUUUUUUACCAUGCUUACUAAAGAUCCACCUCUGUAAGUAAACUUAAAAAAAAAUCACCUCUCUGCAUGCCUGGUAACAUCAUAAUAUUUAGGGAAAUGACAGUGCAUCAAUAAAAACCUUCAGGUGAUUCUGUUACCUUUCAAAGAAGCUAUGCACUUUCUGGUCUUAUGGCCCCAGCAGCUUUAAGAGAACCAACUCCUAGGAUGAUCCCAUCCCACCGUAAAGAAUUUGCUAUACUGCUAAGCCCAAGAUUGAGUAUACAUGCACUUUAUACUUCUUGUUUAGAGAAAUCUGUGUGUUCUCUUAUGGACUCUGACCCUUUACAUACCACAGUUUUGUUCUUUAAAAGAAUUU
rnacentral:lncRNA from 1 species